rnacentral:sRNA from 2 species
UCGACUUAAGCAACGCAAACCCUACCUGCUUUUGCGUCCUUGCAGCCCCAAAGCUACGCCAGUGUGAAUAAGUGUCGUCAAAGACAU